rnacentral:rRNA from 1 species
UACGUAGGGUGCGAGCGUUGUCCGGAAUUAUUGGGCGUAAAGAGCUCGUAGGCGGUGUGUCGCGUCGGCCGUGAAAACCUGGGGCUCAACUCUGGGCGUGCGGUCGAUACGGGCAUCACUGGAGUUCGGCAGGGGAGACUGGAAUUCCUGGUGUAGCGGUGAAAUGCGCAGAUAUCAGGAGGGAACACCCGGUGGCGAAGGCGGGUCUCUGGGCCGAUACUGACGC